AUCCAGCUGACGAGUCCUGAAUAGGACAAAACGCGUGUCAAACUGGAU
rfam:Schistosoma mansoni strain Puerto Rico chromosome 7, complete genome